CUCUUUUUGAAUAUAAUUUAAAGUCGGGCCUGCCCACUGAGAAAUUAAAGGGCCGCAGUAUUUUGACUGUGCAAAGGUAGCAUAAUCAUUAGUUUUUUAAUUGAAAGCUUGUAUGAAUGGUUUGAUGAGAAAAUUUCUGUUUCAAUUUUAAUUUAUAGAAUUUUAUUUUUAAGUAAAAAAGCUUAAAUUUAGUUUAAAGACGAGAAGACCCUAUAGAGUUUUACUUAUAUAAAAAUUACAAAUUUUAGAAUUUUGUAUUUAAAAUUUUUAUCAAAGUUUUGUUGGGGUGACAAAAAAAUUAAAAUAACUUUUUUUUUAUAUAAACAAUAAUUAUUGAAUGUUUGAUCCACUUAAGUGAUUAAAAGAUUAAAUUACCUUAGGGAUAACAGCGUAAUUUUUUUUGAGAGUUCUGAUUUUAAAAAGAGAUUGCGACCUCGAUGUUGGAUUAAAAUUUAUUUUUGGUGGAGAAGCUAAAAAAUUAGGUCUGUUCGACCUUUAAAAUUUUACAUGAUCUGAGUUU
rnacentral:rRNA from 1 species